rnacentral:rRNA from 1 species
UACGUAGGGCGCAAGCGUUAUCCGGAAUUAUUGGGCGUAAAGAGCUCGUAGGCGGUUUGUCGCGUCUGCCGUGAAAGUCCGGGGCUCAACUCCGGAUCUGCGGUGGGUACGGGCAGACUAGAGUGAUGUAGGGGAGACUGGAAUUCCUGGUGUAGCGGUGAAAUGCGCAGAUAUCAGGAGGAACACCGAUGGCGAAGGCAGCACUCUGGGCCGGUACUGACGCUGAGGAGCGAAAGCAUGGGGAGCGAACAGG